rnacentral:rRNA from 1 species
AUGACUGUACCCACAGAAAAAGCCACGGCUAACUACGUGCCAGCAGCCGCGGUAAGACGUAGGUGGCAAGCGUUAUCCGGAAUUAUUGGGCGUAAAGGGCGUGUAGGUGGCGGAGUAAGUCAUAAGUUAAAUUACUGGGCUCAACCCAGAUACUGCUUUUGAAACUGCUUUGCUAGAGUUCGGGAGAAGAAGGUGGAAUUAUCAGAGUAGCGGUGGAAUGCGUAGAUACUGAUAGGAAGGCCAAAGACGAAGGUAGCCUUCUGGACCGACACUGACACUGAGGCGCGAAAGCUAGGGGAGCAAACAGGAUUAGAUACCCUGGUAGUCCUAGCUGUAAACGAUGGAUACUGGAUGUGGGAUAUCAUAUAUUCCGUGUCGAAGCUAACGCGUUAAGUAUCCCGCCUGGGGAGUACGAUCGCAAGAUUGAAACUUAAAGGAAUUGACGGGGACCCGCACAAGCGGUGGAGCAUGUGGUUUAAUUCGAUGCAACGCGAGAAACCUUACCAGAUCUUGACAUUUUAAGGAAUUGUUUGGAAACAUGCGAGUCUCUUCGGAGACCUUAAAACAGGUGGUGCAUGGCUGUCGUCAGCUCGUGCCGUGAGGUGUUGGAUUAAGUUCCGCAACGAGCGCAACCCCUACGUAUAGUUGCCAGCAUUUAGUUGGGGACUCUAUACGAACAGCCUGCGAUGAGCAGGAGGAAGGUGGGGACGAGGUCAAGUCAUCAUGCCCCUUACGAUCUGGGCUACACACGUGCUACAAUGGUUACUACAGAAGGUUGCAAUACAGUGAUGUUGAGCUAAUCCUCAAAAGUAAUCUUAGUUCGGAUUGUAGUCUGCAACUCGACUACAUGAAGCUGGAAUCGCUAGUAAUCGUGAAUCAGAAUGUCACGGUGAAUACGUUCU